rnacentral:rRNA from 1 species
UUUCGGUAUGUAAACUUCGAAAGAAUGGGAAGAAUAAAUGACGGUACCAUUUAUAAGCUCCGGCUAACUACGUGCCAGCAGCCGCGGUAAUACGUAGGGUGCAAGCGUUAUCCGGAAUUAUUGGGCGUAAAGAGCUCGUAGGCGGACUGUCGCGUCUGCUGUGAAAACCCGAGGCUCAACCUCGGGCCUGCAGUGGGUACGGGCAGACUAGAGUGCGGUAGGGGAGAUUGGAAUUCCUGGUGUAGCGGUGGAAUGCGCAGAUAUCAGGAGGAACACCGAUGGCGAAGGCAGAUCUCUGGGCCGUAACUGACGCUGAGGAGCGAAAGCGUGGGGAGCGAACAGGAUUAGAUACCCUGGUAGUCCACGCCGUAAACGUUGGGCGCUAGAUGUCGGGGCCCUCAGGGCUUCGGUGUCGCAGCUAACGCAUUAAGCGCCCCGCCUGGGGAGUACGGCCGCAAGGCUAAAACUCAAAGGAAUUGACGGGGGCCCGCACAAGCGGCGGAGCAUGCGGAUUAAUUCGAUGCAACGCGAAGAACCUUACCAAGGCUUGACAUACACGAGAACACCCUAGAAAUAGGGGACUCUUUGGACACUCGUGAACAGGUGGUGCAUGGUUGUCGUCAGCUCGUGUCGUGAGAUGUUGGGUUAAGUCCCGCAACGAGCGCAACCCUCGUUCUAUGUUGCCAGCACGUAAUGGUGGGA